GAGAUCCCGAGAGGAGGGUCCAGCAGGUGGGGCAGGAGAAUGAAGCUGGAAGGAUGAGGAUGAGGAUGAGGAUUUGGAUAUGUCCAGGGAGUCCAAGCUGAGCCGGGCCAGGCUGGGCCAGAAGCGUCAGCACAGCAGCAGCCUGUACCACAGUAACUGUGACCUGGACUAUGAUCUCUACAGGGAUGACUUCCCAUACCGGGUAUACGAGUACCAGAAGAUCCCCCCACUCAUUAACUGCAUCCCAGUCAAGACCAGGCGGACUCACUCGAGAGCAGGAAGCAAGAGCAGCCUGAGUCCCCAGCCUGGGACAAGGAGCAGCACUAGCUCAUCCACAGGACGGACAAAGUGUAAGUGCAACAGGGCUGGGAGGAAGAGAAGCA
rnacentral:lncRNA from 1 species